UACGUAGGGGGCAAGCGUUGUCCGGAUUUAUUGGGCGUAAAGAGCGUGUAGGCGGUUUGGUAGGUCCGUUGUGAAAACUCGAGGCUCAACCUCGAGACGCCGAUGGAAACCAUCAGACUAGAGUCCGGAAGAGGAGAGUGGAAUUCCUGGUGUAGCGGUGAAAUGCGCAGAUAUCAGGAAGAACACCCGUGGCUAAGGCGGCUCUCUAGUACGGUACUGACGCUGAGGCACGAAAGCGUGGGGAUCAAACAGG
rnacentral:rRNA from 1 species